AACGAACGCUGGCGGCAUGCCUAACACAUGCAAGUCGAACGAGGUCUUCGGGUCUAGUGGCGCACGGGUGCGUAACGCGUGGGAAUCUGCCCUUUGGUUCGGAAUAACAGUUGGAAACGACUGCUAAUACCGGAUGAUGACGAAAGUCCAAAGAUUUAUCGCCAGAGGAUGAGCCCGCGUAGGAUUAGCUAGUUGGUGUGGUAAAGGCGCACCAAGGCGAAGAUCCUUAGCUGGUCUGAGAGGAUGAUCAGCCACACUGGGACUGAGACACGGCCCAGACUCCUACGGGAGGCAGCAGUGGGGAAUAGUGGACAAUGGGCGAAAGCCUGAUCCAGCAAUGCCGCGUGAGUGAUGAAGGCCUUAGGGUUGUAAAGCUCUUUUACCCGGGAUGAUAAUGACAGUACCGGGAGAAUAAGCUCCGGCUAACUCCGUGCCAGCAGCCGCCGUAA
rnacentral:rRNA from 1 species